UACAGUCCAUAGGGUCACAAAGAGUCGGACACUACUGAAAUGACUUAGCACGCACAGGGGUUGUUGUAUUACAAGGGCUGCAGAUACCAACCUGGGCCCUCUGUUCUCGCCCUGGGGAGACAUGUGGGGGUUCCAAUCCUAGCUAAAGGAGACUUGGCCAAAGAGAGCUUUGCUGAGCCUCAGUUUCCUCUCCUACAAAAGAAACAAAACACAUUGCUCCAGGCUGCCUCUGAGCAGCAAAGCUUGGCAGUUGGUGGAAAGCAGCUCCCACAUUUGCUUGUCUUGAGGCCACCAGCUUUCAAGGAGGACCAGUUAGUACUGGCUGUCAGGGGACUAUUGUUACCCCAGUGUGUGCUCAGGAAGCGGACCAGUAUCUUCUCUGCACCCUGAAUAUGUCCUCACUGUUGUUUGCCCAGGAAACCAGUUUCCUUUGUUCCCAGGGUAUAGUCAGCCUCCAAGAAGCUGAUUCACACAUGCCAAACUCAAACAAGAUCAGUUGACAAGUGAGAUUCCUCGUUAUUAAUUUACAGAGGCUCUGCGUGAGAUAGCAGGUAUCAGGCACAGACAGUUCCCACCAAGGAGCGCCAGUCCAUUCCACCAGGCUUCUCCAGGGCCCAAACACUCAGAACUUACAACCUAUUCGCUUUAGAGGCUUGGUCAGAACCAGGAAGAUUUGGAGACGUUCUUCUCAUCAGCAAGAUUAUUUUGUUUGACCUCUGUCCCCAGCCUUGCAGGGACGUUUGGCCGUGUGUGGAGACACGUUUGGUCGUCACAUCUGAUGGGAAAGUGUGCUAUUAGCACGUCGCGUGUAGAACCAGGAUGUUGCUCCAGAGUCCCCAUGCACAGGCUGGUCCCACACAAGGAACUAAAUGUGGGGGCCAACUCUGAAACCCGACUGCCAAGCUGAAUCCUAGCUCCUGCCCUCUGUGACUCUGGAUUUAUAGGAGUAUGGUGACGAGACCUAGAGUGGACAAGACCAAAGGAUAUCACACUCCCUCUGGGGCCUGGUCAGCACCAAGAAGCUUGUGACAACCAGUCGCAUUCCCUACCCUUUCAGUAUAAAAGAAGCCUGAAUUCUAACUCGUGGAAGAUGGCUUUUUGGGACACCUGUCAUGUGGUGAGCAGUAUGAGCUUAGACUCGGUAAUGAUAUCAUCAUAUUAGGGGUUAGGGUUUCAACACAUACAUUUUAACACAUAAGCACUAAACUGAACACAAAUUUGGGGGAACACACACAUUCGGUCCAUACAGAAACCAUCCAGGGAAGAUGUUCCUGAUCACUACCUUCUCUGUCCUUCCCAAAGCAACCACUACCCUGACUUCUGACCUUCCACAGUAGUUUUGCUUGUGUUUGAACUUUUUAUAAUUAGAAUUAUACAGUAUAUAUGCUUUUGUAUGUGUGAGAUUCAUUCAUGUUGUUAUGUGUAAUAGCUUAUUCAUUUCUAUUGCUGUAUAGUAUUCCAUUGCAUGAAUACACAACAAUUUAUUCAUUCUAGAUUUUCAGUUUUUGAUGACCUGAAAAUAUAAAUAUUUUGGUACACAUACCUAGGGUUGGGAUUGCUGUUUCUCAGCAUUUGUAUACAUUCAACUUUUACAGAUAUGAUCAAAUGGUUUUAUAAAGUGCUUGUAGCAAUUUACACUCCUAUCAACAAUGUAUGAGAGUCAGCCAUAGUAAAAGUAUUUAUCCCACAAAUAUUGGCAACUUCUACAAAUCACUCUUUCUUUCCUAGUGAGCCAGUUGUUAAAUAGUUACUAGUACACCACUGCCAAUACCCACUGUCACAAAAACUUCCUAUGUUUUUCAAUUCUUGGUAUUAUCAGUCUUUUUCUCCCUUCAAAAAAAAUAAUAAAAUUUAGUUCAAAAUUUUAAUUGAAUGUAUUUUAACUCUAAUAUAACACAGAAUUUAGAGGUAUUAUUUUUAUUUUAUUCAGAUCAAAACUAAUAUAACACUGUAAAUCAACUAGCUCUAAUAAAUUUUUUUAAAAGAUCAAAUAUACAAGCAAUCAGAUAUCUUUUACUUUCUAUACACAUAUACCCCUCAAAUUUAAAAAUGAUAAACUUAUUUUUCAGUCUUUUUAAAAUCAUACAUACUUUUAUGAAAAUUUUAAGUUUUUUUGACUCGGCUAGGCUUUCUUUGCUCUGCAGCAUGCGGGAUUUUUGUUCCCCAGCCAGGAGUUGAAGCCCAUGCCCUCUGCAUUGGGAAUGCAGAGUCUUAACCAACGGACUGCCAGGGAAGCCCCCAAAACUUUAUAUAUCUUAAACUCAAGGAUAAGGAAAAGCCAGGACAACCUUACAUUGUUGGUGCAAGUGUUAACUGGUACAAUGACUCUGGAAAUCUCCCACAGUAUUUCCUACAGCUAAACAUACAUGUACCCCUGACCAGCAGUUCUCCUCCUGAAUAUGUGCCCAAUGGAAAUGAGUGCUUCUGUCCACCAGAAGGCGUGCGUGAAUGUGUUCACAGCAGCUGUCUUCAUGAUCAUCCACUCUGGAAACAACUCAGAAGUCCAGCAGCAGUAGAAGGGGAAAUACAUUGUGAUGUGUCCCUACAAUGAAAUAUUACACAGCAAUAAAAAAGGGAACAAUGUAUGGGCAGUAUAACCACAGAGGUGAACCUCGAUAAUUUUGACCAAAAGAGAUCAGAUGCAAGAGGCUAUACUAUAUUAUUCCAACUAUAGGAAGUUAAAAACUGGCACAACUAACCAAUAGAGUGGGAGAGGCCAGGUAGAGGUCACCCAUGGAAGUGGUACUAACUUUCAGGAGCCACGAGACAGUCUUCUGCAAGGCUGGACUCACUCUAUUCUUGAUCUGGGUGGAGAUUCUAUGGGAUAUAUGUAUUUAAAAUUGAUAUUGCAUUCAUUACUGUGUCUCAAUUAUAUGUCAAUAAGAUGGAAACAGUCAUGCGACUGCCUGCUAUUAAGAAAGAUGUUACUGAGUCAAAUCUUUAUGCCAAGUGCAGCUUUAGUCUUAUGCUAUAUUUCAUUGACAUUGCAGUGUAACAUGAAAAUACUCUUUGUGGUUAAGUGUGAAUAAUUCUUGAUAUCAUGAUUAUGGAAAGAUUCUUAAAUAAAUGAUCAUUAAAAGACAUAUGUUCCUCUUAAAAGUUAAUGCAGAAAGUACUAAAAAACUUUUUUUAAUUACCCCAAAUGCCACCACUACAAAACAAUCAUCUUCAACCUAUGUCAAUAUCAUUUCUGACAUCCUUGAACUUGUGUGUGAUCCACUGUGUAUAUUUCUAUCACAUCUUGUCAACCUAACAAUAGUAGCCACAUUGCUUGGAUUGAUUAUUAUCUGAAUAUUCAAUUUCAAGUGGAAGUGUUAUUUAAGAUGUACUUCAAUGAAAAUGUACUUCUUUUGCUUUAUAUGUUGAAAUUCUAUCAGUCAGUUGAAAUGUAAAUAUAUAUGUCAUUUUUCAUGAGUAAAUUGCUAUAGUAAUUGAUGAUGAUUUGAAAGCUGUUGAUUGAGUACAAAAACACUAACAAAGAACUUUCAAAUAAUUUAAUUUGAAAAUAGGUUGAUAAUGCAGUUUUCAAGAGAAAGUAUGUUAAGUAGGUAUCUUCAGAAAGAACUUUAUAUUGUGUAAAAGUCAAGAACUGUUAUGGCACUGCCACAAAAACAGACACAAUAGAUAAACAGAACAAGAUAGAGAGCCCAGA